CAAUAGCGUAUAUUAAAGUUGUUGCAGUUAAAAAGCUCGUAGUUGGAUUUCUGGGAGGGUGCCAAUGUCCGCCGAAGCGCGUGCGCAGCGGCGCCCUUCCAUCCUUCUGUUAACGCCUCUUGGCAUUCAUUUGCUGGUGGCGGGCUCAGAUAUUUUACCUUGAGAAAAUUAGAGUGUUCAGGCAGGCUAGGCCGGAAUACAUUAGCAUGGAAUAAUAAGAUAGGACCUCGGUUCUAUUUUGUUGGUUUCUAGAGCUGAGGUAAUGAUUAAUAGGGAUAGUGGGGGCAUUCGUAUUUAACUGUCAGAGGUGAAAUUCUUGGAUUUGUUAAAGACUAACUUAUGCGAAAGCAUUUGCCAAGGAUGUUUUCAUUAAUCAAGAACGAAAGUUAGGGGAUCAAAGACGAUUAGAU
rnacentral:rRNA from 1 species